GCCAGUAUGGCUCAAUGGAUAGAGCAUUGGACUGCAGACCAAAGGUCUCAGGUUCAAAUCCGUCAAGGGCA
rnacentral:tRNA from 1 species